AACGGUUUCCAGCCACUCGCAUCGUUCAUGAAAAAUCACCAAAUUACCCUCGAUCAGGAAGGUGAACCCAAACCGGCUUCCAUGCCUAUUACGGAUGCAUUGCUUGAAUCUGAAGGUUUUCAAUGAUUUCAACGUGCUGCAGCGGGUCGGGUCAGGAGCUGCGCAAUCCGGGUUUGGGCUCUCGGGUCCGGUUCAAGAUUCAAGCCAGAUGGAAGUUUCUAUAAAAUUAGAGGUGUUUUUGCUUCCUCUUUUAUCUUUAAAAUGUAAUUCAAUAGAAUGCAAAUCAUGUGAAUUGUAUUUUAGCUAGUUUGGUGGAAAGUAUGCAGCAUUUCUGAUGUUGAAUUUGUUAGUUAUGAAUCAUGAUUUUGUGUAUUAGUUGGUGAAUUGAUUUCUUGAACUGACUGAACUUGUUAUGUCAGUUACUAUUUUA